UACGUAGGGGGCAAGCGUUUGUCCGGAAUCAUUGGGCGUAAAGAGCGUGUAGGCGGCCCGGUAAGUCCGCUGUGAAAGUCAAAGGCUCAACCUUUGAAUGUCAGCGGAUACUGCCGGGCUAGAGUCCGGAAGAGGCGAGUGGAAUUCCUGGUGUAGCGGUGGAAUGCGCAGAUAUCAGGAGGAACACCAACGGCGAAGGCAGCUCGCUAGGACGGUACUGACGCUGAGACGCGAAAGCGUGGGGAGCAAACAGG
rnacentral:rRNA from 1 species